AAAAUCUGCAUUUUUGUUUCAGAUCAUAUUGGAAAUGCAAAUUAAAAAAAAAAAAAAAAUCUGCAUUUUUAGCUUAUUAAAAAUAGGUCAAUGCUGCAUCAGAGAUUUCUCAUAUUUAUGUUGUUCGAGUGGGAGGACAACUUUGUCCGGGUCCUGUAUAUAGCAGAAAUUGCAGAAGUUUCCUUUAGUACCUGUGUUCUUUGGGGGCCUAGUGGAACAAUUAUUAAAGCUUGAAAAGAGCAAGUAAAGUUGUACACAGAGGAUUAUAAUAUAAACAACAUCCUAGGAAAAACUCAGGAGUUGUAGUUUGGUAAACAUUGCGAAUCAGAUAAACAUGGAUAUUUUAUUGAGCGUUAUGUUAAAUAGGAAUAUCAACAUAGCUGCCUGGUUUUAAAUAGUUUUGUAUAUUGUGAUGGUGCUUCUUUUUCCAUCAUUUGACUGAAUGAAAGCCUUUUUCAGGUCUUAUCCCCAGACAUGAGCCUAGCCACAGUUAAAGCUUAUAUAUGGAAGAAACCUGAUGAUUUGGUCCUUAAUUACAGACUAAUGCAAGGACGAUGAUUCUGUAGGACAGCUACAAGUAGAUGCUUGUGGGAAUGAGCAUUCUGGUCAGUGGAGAUUGUAGGGGCCAUCUACUACUGUGUAAAAUACAAACUGUAAUUGAUUCUUCGGGGGUGCUGGCCAUGAUCGUAAACGGUUUAUUGGUACCAUGUAAAUCUGGAAAGCUGAUCACUCGAGAUGAAGCUUUGGAUAGUCUCCAAAAUUUGCAGAGGGUAUGGGGCUAGUUUAUUGUUUUGACGAGUGAUCUUCCACGUUUCAAGUUUUGUUUCUCACGCAUGCAGAUGGGCGGCCAUUGCUUUGGACAAGUUGUACGAUGAGUUUGUCAGCUUGAAGCAAAAUGUCUCGGAGUUCGUAAAAGAGAAAGAGGAGGUUGGCAGACAUGGAGAAUUUCAAGAAUCCCCACCAGGAGAAGAUGAAUUAGGAACAAUAUGGUUUGAGAGCAUUGUAGAAGUGAAUGUGGGGUGUGCCUAAUGGGAAAACUCUUGUUUAUGAGGUAAUUAAGCCAUGGAAAUAAGACAGUUCCAUCUGUGUCAAACUUGUCAUUCAAUAUAUAUCAGUGUAUAUUUAUUUCUUUUUUGUA